rnacentral:rRNA from 1 species
GACGAACGCUGGCGGCGUGCCUAAUACAUGCAUGUCUAGCGAAGCGGCGGAUGUGUGAGUAACGCUUGUGUAACCUUCCCUUAAGUCUGGGAUACCAUUUGGAAACUGAUGCUAAUACCGGAUACUCAAGUAUGGACCUGCGAUUCAUUAGCUAGUUGGUAGGGUAACGGCUUACCAAGGCGAUGAUGCAUAGCCGAGGUGAGAGACUGAUCGGCCACAUUGGGACGGAGACACGGCCCAAACUCCUACGGGAGGCAGCAGUAGGGAAUCUUCCACAAUGGACGAAAGUCUGAUGGAGCAACGCCGCGGGAGUGAAGAAGGUUUUCGGAGCGUAAAGCUCUGUUGUUGGUGAAGCGGUAAUCAACCAGAAAGUCACGGCUAACUACGUGCCAGCAGCCGCGGUAAUAC